rnacentral:lncRNA from 1 species
GGGCAGGCCAGUUGCCUAGCACUGAGAUGGAAUAAACAUCACCCAGCUUCCUUUUCCCUCCCUCUUGAGAAGGAACGGUGAUGUCUUGAGAGUCAGAAAGAAAACAGUGACCGAAUAGACAUGAUUUAUUGAAAAAUAAGCAGGGUUCUUCUGGGAGGUCUGUCAGGUACAAGCUGAGUCAUUUCUCUCCCAUGUCACUGUUGGAAGAAACAAAGAUAAUUUGUAUGGAAAGUAAUGUGC